CCCUGAGAAGACUUCUCACCCCCUUUGCUGCUGCCUGAGGGUAUCUGCCGCUAGCCUGGAGGUUCAGGCCACAACUGGUGGGGGAAACAGGUGGUGUGAGCGCCGUGAAGCCAGGCACACCUCUACCCCAGAUGCCCGGCAUGCAGAGGACACUGAAUAUGGGUUUGGGGGGGUGGUGAAUGAACACCACCUGAGUGGGAGGUGUGGUCCCCUUGCUGCCUCUGUGCGAAGUCCUCAGGCAGGUGCUCAGGGGUGGUCUCAUAGUGGCCCGUAGAGUCCCCGCUGGGGGGUUGGUCCCUGGUACACCAGAGAACAUGACUGGCAGUUCCCACUUGUAACCACCAGGUGUCGCUCACACCACACCAGGAAACCCAGCGCGGGGCUCCGGAGCUGCAGUCACAGGACGGGGGCAAUGUCCUCGGUGAGCCAGAGACGGGAUCUCCAGGCGACCAUUCGUCCUCAUUAGAGCCCGGGGUCCCUCCUCCAGGACCAGACAGCUGUGCCCAGCGUCGAGGGCUGCGCUGAGAGGCCUCCUUCUGUAGCUAGGGGCAGCUGUAGGUGAGGAAGCAGGAUGGCCUUGGGGAAUGGGUGCUGGAGCCAGACCUGGGAGGUCUGUGACCGUCACUUCAUCCAGCACCAUUCAUCCAGCAGCCCUGCCACUGCCCACUACCCCUGCCCACAGCCUUGGCCGUUCAGGGAAGGCUGCUUGUGCAAGGGCUCUCAUCAGCCGCCCAAUGCCCCCCACCCAGGCCGCCCUCCCUGGACACUCAGCUGGCCCCGAGAAGUGAUAUCAACCUUCCUACACACCUCCGAGGCAGCUGGCCCUGUUCCCUUUGUGAGGUCUUACUUAACUUGGGGUUCUAAGCCCCAGGGGUCCAGCCA